rnacentral:rRNA from 1 species
AGCGGCGGACGGGUGAGUAAUGCUUGGGAAUAUGCCUUAUGGUGGGGGACAACAGUUGGAAACGACUGCUAAUACCGCAUGAUGUCUACGGACCAAAGUGGGGGACCUUCGGGCCUCACGCCAUAAGAUUAGCCCAAGUGGGAUUAGCUAGUUGGUGAGGUAAUGGCUCACCAAGGCGACGAUCCCUAGCUGGUUUGAGAGGAUGAUCAGCCACACUGGGACUGAGACACGGCCCAGACUCCUACGGGAGGCAGCAGUGGGGAAUAUUGCACAAUGGGCGCAAGCCUGAUGCAGCCAUGCCGCGUGUGUGAAGAAGGCCUUCGGGUUGUAAAGCACUUUCAGUAAGGAGGAAAGGUUAAGUGUUAAUAGCACUUAGCUGUGACGUUACUUACAGAAGAAGCACCGGCUAACUCCGUGCCAGCAGCCGCGGUAAUACGGAGGGUGCGAGCGU